UACGUAGGGGGCAAGCGUUGUCCGGAUUUAUUGGGCGUAAAGAGCGUGUAGGCGGCCUGAAAGGUCAGCUGUGAAAACUCGAGGCUCAACCUCGAGACGUCGGUGGAAACCGUUUGGCUAGAGUCCGGAAGAGGAGAGUGGAAUUCCCGGUGUAGCGGUGAAAUGCGCAGAUAUCGGGAGAAACACCGGUGGCGAAGGCGGUUCUCUGGGCCUGUACUGACGCUGAGGAGCGAAAGCGUGGGGAGCGAACAGG
rnacentral:rRNA from 1 species